UACAGAGGUCCCAAGCGUUGUUCGGAUUCAUUGGGCGUAAAGGGUGCGUAGGCGGCGCGGUAAGUCGGGUGUGAAAUCUCGGAGCUUAACUCCGAGCCUGCUUCCGAUACGGGCAGACUAGAGGUAGGCAGGGGAGAGCGGAACUCCUGGUGUAGCGGUGGAAUGCGCAGAUAUCAGGAAGAACACCGGUGGCGAAGGCGGCUCUCUGGGCCUUACCUGACGCUGAGGAGCGAAAGCGUGGGUAGCGAACAGG
rnacentral:rRNA from 1 species